GGUGAAUUGAAAACGAUGCAGCUCCGAUCAAAUCAAAUCGGAUGACUGGACAGGACUUUUACGAAUUCAGAGCCAAUAAUUUUUCCUGAUAAAUUCUCCCAAAUCUCAGCCAUAAUCUAAAAGACAUUCCAUGAGGAUUUAUCUUCAGAGUAACGGCUUCACCGAAAAGACUUUAGGCCACUGUUCCAAGCUCGUUUUGCUUCACCUGAGAUCUCCAGGAUAAUCCCGCCAAGCUCGUUUCGAGAUUUGAAGCAAUGGCUGAAUAUGCUUGAAAAAAGAAUUCUCUCAAGAGCUGAGUUAUGUCAAGACCUUAGAGACACUGACUCCAACGACUAAACGCUAGAUCGGGCGGUCAAAGAAUCUUGCCAUCCCCAAGCCAAGCAACAAUUUUUUACGGAAACAAUCCGGCUGAGCUCGGCGACUGCAUAAAUCUGGCUCGACCUCAACGCCAAUCUCUUCGACAGAGCAAUUCCGGACUUGGAAAAAUCACGAGCUUCACAAGUGAUGUCGUCUCUGUUUAAAGGAGCGAGCUCACAACUACGCACCAGCAACCAAAAGCUAAGUAUCAUCAUCCUUACUAGUUCAAAAUCUCAAAGAAAAAAUAAAUAUCUUCACAAUUUUAUUCAAAAUAUUGCAGGAUUUGCAGAAAUUGUGGCUCCGGCUUGAAUGCUCUGGCAACGCAAACGCCACUAUAACGACAUGUUAUCAAGAACUUUACCUCAACAUCUCGGAUAAGCACUUUCUCCUCAACAAUGCAACAUUGAUACACUAGCCAAUGCUCGGGAUUAUAAUAAAGAGGAGAACGUCACCACACUCAUUCCAGCUAGUUCCCUAAAAUGCCCGAAGUUAUUAAAUACCAUAGCUCAUCAAAGGAGCUCUUCCAAAAUUCAGAACUCAUAAGCUGGAUUUUUGAGACAUAUUUAAAUCGAAACUCAGGGAGUCUAGAGGCAAGAAGUCAAUGUGCUAGAUUCGGAGAUGAAGGAGCUGGUGGUAAUGAAGAAAAUAGUAAAUGCUUUUAAUCAUCACAUAGAUGCCAAAUGUUAAACUAUAAUGUUAGU